rnacentral:SRP_RNA from 1 species
GCUGGGCAUGGUACUACAUGCCUGUAGUCCCAGCUACCUGGGAGACUAAAGCAGGAAAAUUGCUUGAGUCCAGGAGUUUGAGGCCACAGUGAACUAUGAACAUGCCACUGACUCUAGCCUGGGCAACAGGCAAUAGAGUGAGACCCUAUCUCAAAAAAAAAAAAAAAGUUCACCAUCAAUAUGUUGACCUCCCAGGAGCAGGAGACCACUAGGUUGCCUAAGGAGAGGUGAAUCGGCCCAAGUCAGAAAAAGAGCAGGCCAAAAAUCCCAUGCUGAUGUGUAGUGGGCUAACACUUGUGAAGCCACUGUGCUCCACCCUGGGCAAUAUAACAAGACCUCAUUUCU